GAGGGUAUAGCUCAAGUGGCAGAGUGCAUGCUUAGCAUGCAUGAGGUCCUGGGUUCAAUUCCCAGUACUUCCU
rnacentral:tRNA from 1 species